UGGGGAAUCUUUCGCAAUGUGCGAAAGCCUGACGCAGCGACGCCGCGUGAGGGAAGAAGUCCAUCGGGUUGUAAACCUCUUUCAGCAGGGACGAAGCCACUCGGGUUAAUAGCCCAGAGGGUGACGGUACCUGCAGAAGAAGCCCCGGCUAACUACGUGCCAGCAGCCGCGGUAAUACGUAGGGGGCAAGCGUUGUCCGGAUUUAUUGGGCGUAAAGAGCGUGUAGGCGGCCAGACAGGUCCGUUGUGAAAACUGGAGGCUUAACCUUCAGACGUCGAUGGAAAACUUUUGGCUAGAGUCCGGGAGAGGAGAGUGGAAUUCCUGGUGUAGCGGUGAAAUGCGAAGAUAACAGGAAGAACACCCGUGGCUAAGGCGGCUCUCUAGUACGGUACUGAAGCUGAGACGCGAAAGCGUGGGGAGCGAACAGG
rnacentral:rRNA from 1 species